UACGUAGGGGGCUAGCGUUGUCCGGAUUCAUUGGGCGUAAAGCGCAUGCAGGCGGCUUGGUAAGUCAUCGGUGAAAUCCCUCGGCUCAACCGGGGGGGGUCCGGCGAAACUGCCAGGCUUGAGGUCGGGAGGGGGAAGCGGAAUUCCGGGUGUAGUGGUGGAAUGCGUAGAUAUCCGGAGGAACACCAGUGGCGAAGGCGGCUUCCUGGCCCGAUUCUGACGCUGAUAUGCGAAAGCGUGUGGAGCGAUCCGG
rnacentral:rRNA from 1 species